AUGAACGCUAGCUACAGGCUUAACACAUGCAAGUCGAGGGGCAUCAGGAAGAAAGCUUGCUUUCUUUGCUGGCGACCGGCGCACGGGUGAGUAACACGUAUCCAACCUGCCCUUUACUCGGGGAUAGCCUUUCGAAAGAAAGAUUAAUACCCGAUGGCAUAAUGAUUCCGCAUGGUUUCAUUAUUAAAGGAUUCCGGUAAAGGAUGGGGAUGCGUUCCAUUAGGUUGUUGGUGGGGUAACGGCCCACCAAGCCUUCGAUGGAUAGGGGUUCUGAGAGGAAGGUCCCCCACAUUGGAACUGAGACACGGUCCAAACUCCUACGGGAGGCAGCAGUGAGGAAUAUUGGUCAAUGGGCGCUAGCCUGAACCAGCCAAGUAGCGUGAAGGAUGAAGGCUCUAUGGGUCGUAAACUUCUUUUAUAUAAGAAUAAAGUGCAGUAUGUAUACUGUUUUGUAUGUAUUAUAUGAAUAAGGAUCGGCUAACUCCGUGCCAGCAGCCGCGGUAAUACGGAGGAUCCGAGCGUUAUCCGGAUUUAUUGGGUUUAAAGGGAGCGUAGGUGGACUGGUAAGUCAGUUGUGAAAGUUUGCGGCUCAACCGUAAAAUUGCAGUUGAUACUGUCAGUCUUGAGUACAGUAGAGGUGGGCGGAAUUCGUGGUGUAGCGGUGAAAUGCUUAGAUAUCACGAAGAACUCCGAUUGCGAAGGCAGCUCACUGGACUGCAACUGACACUGAUGCUCGAAAGUGUGGGUAUCAAACAGGAUUAGAUACCCUGGUAGUCCACACAGUAAACGAUGAAUACUCGCUGUUUGCGAUAUACAGUAAGCGGCCAAGCGAAAGCAUUAAGUAUUCCACCUGGGGAGUACGCCGGCAACGGUGAAACUCAAAGGAAUUGACGGGGGCCCGCACAAGCGGAGGAACAUGUGGUUUAAUUCGAUGAUACGCGAGGAACCUUACCCGGGCUUAAAUUGCAGUGGAAUGAUGUGGAAACAUGUCAGUGAGCAAUCACCGCUGUGAAGGUGCUGCAUGGUUGUCGUCAGCUCGUGCCGUGAGGUGUCGGCUUAAGUGCCAUAACGAGCGCAACCCUUAUCUUUAGUUACUAACAGGUUAUGCUGAGGACUCUAGAGAGACUGCCGUCGUAAGAUGUGAGGAAGGUGGGGAUGACGUCAAAUCAGCACGGCCCUUACGUCCGGGGCUACACACGUGUUACAAUGGGGGGUACAGAAGGCAGCUAGCGGGUGACCGUAUGCUAAUCCCAAAAGCCUCUCUCAGUUCGGAUCGAAGUCUGCAACCCGACUUCGUGAAGCUGGAUUCGCUAGUAAUCGCGCAUCAGCCACGGCGCGGUGAAUACGUUCCCGGGCCUUGUACACACCGCCCGUCAAGCCAUGGGAGCCGGGGGUACCUGAAGUACGUAACCGCAAGGAUCGUCCUAGGGUAAAACUGGUGACUGGGGCU
rnacentral:rRNA from 1 species